GGCGAACGGGUGAGGAACACGUGAGGAAUCUGCCUUCUACACUGGGAUAACUCCGGGAAACCGGGGCUAAUACCGGAUAUGAAACUUGGUGGCAUCACCGAGUUUGGAAAGUUUUUCGGUAGAAGAUGACCUCGCGGCCUAUCAGCUAGUUGGUGAGGUAAUGGCUCACCAAGGCAACGACGGGUAGCCGGCCUGAGAGGGCGACCGGCCACACUGGGACUGAGACACGGCCCAGACUCCUACGGGAGGCAGCAGUGGGGAAUAUUGGGCAAUGGAGGAAACUCUGACCCAGCGACGCCGCGUGCGGGAUGAAGGCCUUCGGGUUGUAAACCGCUUUCAGUAGGGAAGAAGCGAAAGUGACGGUACCUACAAAAGAAGCACCGGCUAACUAUGUGCCAGCAGCCGCGGUAAUACAUAGGGUGCAAGCGUUGUCCGGAAUUAUUGGGCGUAAAGAGCUCGUAGGUCGUUUGUUACGUCGGAUGUGAAAACCUGAGGCUCAACCUCAGGCCUGCAUUCGAUACGGGCAAACUAGAGUUUGGUAGGGGAGACUGGAAUUCCUGGUGUAGCGGUGGAAUGCGCAGAUAUCAGGAGGAACACCAAUGGCGAAGGC
rnacentral:rRNA from 1 species